UAGUGGAAGAGAUGACUUUGAGAAAGGCGCACAUGCAGAGUUGGUCAAUAAAACUAGAGAAGAACUAUGGAUCAUUAAGCUGAGUCGGGCCGCAACAGUGAGAGGAAGACGGGUGAUGGAACUCGCGUCGGAGACAAAGAUGACCCGGGGGAUAGAUCAACACUCGUGCAGGCUGCCUUCAUUAAACUAUGGGCUGCAUGUACUAUGAGUUCGGAUGUACCUUCAGUCUCCACAGAGGAUAGGUGGAGUCUGUGUCUCUGUUGAAGAACCUGGUGGUCUUUGUCCCUGCGCUCAACAGAUAUUCUGCAGGCAGACCCUGAGUCUGUGAGAUGUACCGGAUCUUCAAGACAAAA